AAGCUUUAUAAUUUAUAAAAAAUAUUUACCUUGAAAGUAAAAAAAGAAUUUAUCUAAAGCU
rnacentral:tRNA from 1 species